rnacentral:rRNA from 1 species
GACGAACGCUGGCGGCGUGCCUAAUACAUGCAAGUCGAGCGCAGGAAGCCGUCUGAACCCUUCGGGGGGACGACGGUGGAAUGAGCGGCGGACGGGUGAGUAACACGUAAAGAACCUGCCCAUAGGUCUGGGAUAACCACGAGAAAUCGGGGCUAAUACCGGAUGUGUCAUCGGACCGCAUGGUCCGCUGAUGAAAGGGGCUCCGGCGUCGCCCAUGGAUGGCUUUGCGGUGCAUUAGCUAGUUGGUGGGGUAACGGCCCACCAAGGCGACGAUGCAUAGCCGACCUGAGAGGGUGAUCGGCCACACUGGGACUGAGGCACGGCCCAGACUCCUACGGGAGGCAGCAGUAGGGAAUCUUCCACAAUGGACGAAAGUCUGAUGGAGCAACGCCGCGUGAACGAUGAAGGCUUUCGGGUCGUAAAGUUCUGUUGUAAGGGAAGAACAAGUGCCGCAGGCAAUGGCGGCACCUUGACGGUACCUUGCGAGAAAGCCACGGCUAACUACGUGCCAGCAGCCGCGGUAA